rnacentral:rRNA from 1 species
UGAACGCUGGCGGCGUGCCUAAUACAUGCAAGUCGAGCGAACGGACGAGAAGCUUGCUUCUCUGAUGUUAGCGGCGGACGGGUGAGUAACACGUGGAUAACCUACCUAUAAGACUGGGAUAACUUCGGGAAACCGUAGCUAAUACCGGAUAAUAUUUUGAACCGCAUGGUUCAAAAGUGAAAGACGGUCUUGCUGUCACUUAUAGAUGGAUCCGCGCUGCAUUAGCUAGUUGGUAAGGUAACGGCUUACCAAGGCAACGAUGCAUAGCCGACCUGGGAGGGUGAUCGGCCACACUGGAACUGAGACACGGUCCAGACUCCUACGGGAGGCAGCAGUAGGGAAUCUUCCGCAAUGGGCGAAAGCCUGACGGAGCAACGCCGCGUGAGUGAUGAAGGUCUUCGGAUCGUAAAACUCUGUUAUUAGGGAAGAACAUAUGUGUAAGUAACUGUGCACAUCUUGACGGUACCUAAUCAGAAAGCCACGGCUAACUACGUG